UACGUGGGGGGCUAGCGUUAUCCGGAAUUACUGGGCGUAAAGGGUGCGUAGGUGGUUUCUUAAGUCAGAGGUGAAAGGCUACGGCUCAACCGUAGUAAGCCUUUGAAACUGGGAAACUUGAGUGCAGGAGAGGAGAGUGGAAUUCCUAGUGUAGCGGUGAAAUGCGUAGAUAUUAGGAGGAACACCAGUUGCGAAGGCGGCUCUCUGGACUGUAACUGACACUGAGGCACGAAAGCGUGGGGAGCAAACAGG
rnacentral:rRNA from 1 species